AAUUUAUGAGCCAGUGCACCUGGCCGAACUUCUAGUAAGUUCUGUGUCGGCGUGCACGGUUCAUUCUUCUGAAGAACAUGGCUGCCCUUCACUGGGUGGGUCAUGGGAUUCAGAUCAUUUACUGUGAGUAAAUCAAAGUGCUCAAAGCAGGCUUUAAUGCUUGUAUGGUUCAGCAUGGAAUAAUAAGAUAAGACUUCGGUUUUGUUUUGUUGGCUAGACGAACCAAAGUAAUGAUUGAAAGGGAUAGUUGGGGGUGCUAGUAUUCAAUGGUCAGCGGUGAAAUGCGAAGACCCAUUGAAGACUAACUUAUGCGAAAGCAUU
rnacentral:rRNA from 1 species